CCCUUGGAUGUUCUGGGCUGCACGCGUGCUACAAUGGCGCUUGCAACAAGUCUUGCCAACCCGAUAGGGUGAGCGGAUCUUUGAAGAGGCGUCGUGAUCGGGACAGUUGAUUGCAAUUAUUCGACUCGAACGAGGAAUUCCUUGUAAUCGCGAUUCAUCAUAUCGCGCUGAAUACGUCCCUGCCCUUUGUACACACCGCCCGUCGCUCCUACCGAUUGGGUGUGCUGGUGAAAUGUUCGGAUCGGCCGUUUGUCGCGGUUUCCGCGUCAUGUGGCUGAGAAGUUCAUUAAACCCUCCCACCUAGAGGAAGGAGAAGUCGUAACA
rnacentral:rRNA from 1 species